rnacentral:rRNA from 1 species
CCUACGGGAGGCAGCAGUGGGGAAUAUUGGGCAAUGGGCGCAAGCCUGACCCAGCAACGCCGCGUGAAGGAAGAAGGCUUUCGGGUUGUAAACUUCUUUUGUCAGGGAAGAGUAGAAGACGGUACCUGACGAAUAAGCCACGGCUAACUACGUGCCAGCAGCCGCGGUAAUACGUAGGUGGCAAGCGUUGUCCGGAUUUAAUGGGUGUAAAGGGCGGGUAGCCGGGUUGACAAGUCAGAUGUGAAAUCCUGCGGCUUAACCGCAGAACUGCAUGUGAAACUGUUGAUCUUGAGUACUGGAGAGGCAGAUGGAAUUCCUGGUGUAGCGGUGAAAUGCGUAGAUAUUAGGAGGAACACCAGUGGCGAAGGUGGUCUGCUGGACAGCAACUGACGGUGAGGCGCGAAAGCGUGGGGAGCAAACAGGAUUAGAUACCCCUGUAGUC